rnacentral:rRNA from 1 species
UGGCGUGCUUAACACAUGCAAGUCGAACGGAAAGGCCCUGCUUUUGUGGGGUGCUCGAGUGGCGAACGGGUGAGUAACACUUGAGUAACCUGCCCUUGACUUUGGGAUAACUUCAGGAAACUGGGGCUAAUACCGGAUAGGAGCUCCUGCUGCAUGGUGGGGGUUGGAAAGUUUCGGCGGUUGGGGAUGGACUCGCGGCUUAUCAGCUUGUUGGUGGGGUAGUGGCUUACCAAGGCUUUGACGGGUAGCCGGCCUGAGAGGGUGACCGGCCACAUUGGGACUGAGAUACGGCCCACACUCCUACGGGAGGCAGCAGUGGGGAAUAUUGCACAAUGGGCGGAAGCCUGAUGCAGCAACGCCGCGUGCGGGAUGACGGCCUUCGGGUUGUAAACCGCUUUCGCCUGUGACGAAGCGUGAGUGACGCCAAUGGGUAAAGAAGCACCGGCUAACUGCGUGCCAGCAGCCGCGGUGAUACGUAGGGCGCGAGCGUUGUCCGGAUUUAUUGGGCGUAAAGGGCUCGCAGGUGGUUGAUCGCGUCGGAAGUGUAAUCUUGGGGCUUAACCCUGAGCGUGCUUUCGACACCGGUUGACUUGAGGAAGGUAGGGGAUAAUGGAAUUCCUGGUGGAGCGGUGGAAUGCGCAGAUAUCAGGAGGAACACCAGUGGCGAAGGCGGUUCUCUGGGCCUUUCCUGACGCUGAGGAGCGAAAGCGUGGGGAGCGAACAGGCUUAGAUACCCUGGUAGUCCACGCUGUAAACGGUGGGUACUAGGUGUGGGGUCCAUUCCACGGGUUCCGUGCCGUAGCUAACGCUUUAAGUACCCCGCCUGGGGAGUACGGCCGCAAGGCUAAAACUCAAAGGAAUUGACGGGGCCCCGCACAAGCGGCGGAGCAUGCGGAUUAAUUCGAUGCAACGCGUAGAACCUUACCUGGGUUUGACAUGGAUCGGGAGUGCUCAGAGAUGGGUGUGCCUCUUUUGGGGUCGGUUCACAGGUGGUGCAUGGCUGUCGUCAGCUCGUGUCGUGAGAUGUUGGGUUAAGUCCCGCAACGAGCGCAACCCUUGUUCACUGUUGCCAGCACGUUAUGGUGGGGACUCAGUGGAGACCGCCGGGGUCAACUCGGAGGAAGGUGGGGAUGACGUCAAGUCAUCAUGCCCCUUAUGUCCAGGGCUUCACGCAUGCUACAAUGGCUGGUACAGAGAGUGGCGAGCCUGUGAGGGUGAGCGAAUCUCGGAAAGCCGGUCUCAGUUCGGAUUGGGGUCUGCAACUCGACCUCAUGAAGUCGGAGUCGCUAGUAAUCGCAGAUCAGCAGCGCUGCGGUGAAUACGUUCCCGGGGCUUGUACACACCGCCCGUCAAGUCAUGAAAGUUGGUAACACCCGAAGCCGGUGGCCUAACCGUUGUGGGGGAGCCGUCGAAGGUGGGACUGGUGAUUAGGA